CUAAAACUCUGACAUGUCAUCAUAAGCAUUUGCAUUAACUUGCUUGUUACACUUAGAAUGCAUUUAUUAGGUUAAAAUUUUCGAUUCAAAAGUGUGAUGUGGUGUGUUGAGUAUAGGACUUAGGUUGAAAAACCUUGCUUGGAAUUGUGGAUGAACAAAACAACUCCUAAACCAGGGACAAUUUGGACAUGAGCUUCAUAUACUAGAGUUUGAUUUGAGAUUAAGGAGUCACUCAUCUUUUAGGAGGAUGAAUUGAGUUGGUAAAUCACUAGAUGAGAAGGAACCAUAUUUGAAACCCUAAAUUUGCCCUAAAAGUGGAAUUCAAAAUCUAGAGACAAUUGGGCAAAAGUCAAAGUGCCAAAGUUGUAGAGUUUGGAAAAGGUGAACAACUUUUAUAUUUGGAUAUUCCCAAGUUGUGUGGAAGAAUUUGGAGUAAUUUGCAGAAAUUCAGUUUUGGGUUCAAAUUGGAACUUCUGAAAUUAAUAUAAACUAGCCAACUUUGAACCCUUAUAAAUUCUGAUCUAUAAGCAUUUUGAAGAUGGUCCUUAUAACAAAGUUAUAGAGCUACAUGAGGAGUAUAAGUUUGGUGGAGUCACCUAGCUCUAAAGAUAUUUGAAACUUAGAGAAAAACUGGUCCAAAGUAGAGCUAACAGAGUUUCUGGAUUUCAGACUUGGUAGAAUUCAGAGUCUGAAUUUCAGUAAUUUGGGCAAACUUUGGACCUCUGUAGUUUGGAGUCUGUGAGGGUUUAGAUAUGGAUCACUAUGUCAAAGUUGUAGAGGAACUAUAGGAGUAUAAACUUUAUUAAGCAACUUGCCCCUAAAAACAUUUGGAACCCAGGAAAAAGAGUGGUUCUAAGUGGUGCUGCUGUAUUCUGAAUUUUCAGAUUGGAAGCAGUAACUGAAACUGAAUUUCAGUGUUUUGAUAGCAGUUUGGAAGCUGGUUUGUGGCUAGCUUAUAAGGUUUUAGGCUAUGGUGUUUGUAGAUGAAAUAAUGACCAUAUGAUGGUGAAUAAUUUUCAGUAAGUGGGUAUAGCAUGAUCCUGCACGAAAAGUAGAGUAAAACUAGCUCAAAGUUGGACUGUUUAUGGCUGAAACUGAAUUAUAUUCAGUUAUUGAAAACUGAAUUUCAGUGAAAGUUGCUCAGUUUGGAGCCCAUUUGCGGCUGAUUCAUGUGAUUUUGGACUAAGAACUAUAUGGUAAAGUUGGAGACCAAAAUAUGGUAAGUAAGUUUCCUAAAGUGAGAUAGACUUGGUGCUAUAUAAAGUUGGGAGUAAAAUACCCUCAAACUUCCCCUGUCAGAAUUGAGUUGGGACUGAUUUAGUUGACUGUUACUGAGAAGUUCAGUGAGUUUUUACCCAGUUUUGGAGCUCUAUGAUAAUUAAUAUAUGGAGAUUUUGGUUAAGAGUUCUGUAGUAAAGUCAAGGUCCAUAUGAAGGGAAACAACUUUUAUGCAAAGGAUUGACUUGUUACUGUGUAGAGUUUGGAGAAAAAGGGAAGGCAAAACCCUCUAUCAGACUUAAACUGUGCUGUUUCAGACUUUUGAAACUGGGUAUUUUAGUGUUUUGGCUCAACUUUGGGAUGCCAGAACUCUUGAUCUGUGUGGGUAUAAGCCAAAGACCCUGUGACAAAAGUUUACAUGGGUGUUAGGAGAACAAGUUUUCGACAGGAAGGUGGGUUUGAUGCUAAGUAAAAUUUAGAGUAAAACGUGCCUAAAUGUCUGUGAGAGAUGUCUGUUUCAGAAAACUGAAAACAGAUUUAGUGGAAGGUGGCUGAUUCUUGGACACUAUAACUUGUAGUACAUGCAGUUUGGAUCCUAGAUUCUUGAAACAAACUUGAAGUGCCUCAGAUAGUGAACAAGUUUGAUUAUAGGGGACUGAUCUAUCCUUAACAGGAAUGGGGAGAAAAGUGGGGCUGAACAGGGAGGAUCAGACCAGCUAAAGCAAUUCAGAGAUUCCCAAAAUAUCUAAAGAAUAUCUUUUCCCCCUGCAGAAAAUAUCAAACCUUUGGAUGUGUUUGAGCCUGUCUACCGUGGGGUUUUUUUAUCUGCCUUUACCUCUGUCCAUAUCCAGUGAAUAGGUGGGAUAUUUUAGCAGUGAGCAGUGGGCAGUAGAGUAUUUGUUGGUUUUGUUUGUUGUCUGCGAUAUGGGAUACUGGUGAGCUGAGUAUGGGAUAUGGAUGAAGUGCAUCAUUGAGGACUAGAAGUCUCGCUCCCCAUUAAUAAGUCUCAAGGUGAGCUGGAAUGUGUCUGUUUGUAGGUGCAGUUUUGACUGCUUGCUCCUUAUCCAUAUCAAAUAGACCAGAUUCAGUGUUUUAGUGAUAUUUGUGAGUUGUGUGCUGUGCCAGCAAGGUUUGUGCAUGGGAGCCAUGUGUGUUAGCCAUGCAGUGCUGGCAUCCCCAGAAGACUUCCCCACUGAGUUGUGUAGUGGUUCAGUGAACACUUUCCUACAUCUGCAGUGCCUUAGGUGCAGGUUCAGUGAAGCUCUCCUCCUUGCCUCGAGUCUAGCCAUGGUUCACUGCUUUGGGUGGUGAUCCUAAAGUCUGCAGGUCUCUGUAGCCCUCUCCAGUUCAUCGCACGCCAUUCCCCUGUGCUAGUGGCCGCGCCAGCAGUUCUCCCACCUCGCCAUGGCUUGGACGUCCUAAGGAGUUGCUGGCCCGUAUGAAGCUUGUUCCGUAAUCAUCUCAGAGCUCCCAAAACAAAGAGUGAAGAUUCAAGAUGAAGUGGUUGCUAAAGAGGAGUCUACUCCAGUGUCUUCUCAUUAAGAGGAUGGAGCUAUCUAAUCGAUGGUUGGGUAGAGGGAUCUAGAACCUCUUCACUGCAACAAAGGCAAGCCCCGGUGCAUUUACCCCUUUCCUUGUAUUUUUAAAAGACUUUUAUACACUUUAAGUCUAGUGAAAUGUGCAUUAAGUUAUAGGAGUUGCUUGAAAACUAUUUGAUGCAUUGACUACCUUGAUAUCCAUUCCUGUUAUAGAUACUUCUUUGGAAGUAUCAAAUAUUGUUUACAAAAAUGCUUAGCCCUGCUUAGAUCUUGUGGAUAGAAGUUGUCUUUUGCAAUAAUGCCUAGCUCAGGGGUUGUCCUGAGGAAGGAUGGCUUCUACCUGCAAGAAUAUUUUCAUUGGGAGCAUGGUGGGAUCUUACUGCAAAGUUCCCUGUAAUGCUCUUCUCAUCCCAAGGAACACAAAACAAUCCUAAGGAUGGAAAUACUUAAAUCGAGACUUGGGCUAGGAACAGGUGAUGCUCCACCCAGGUUAAUUAAGGAUUGGAUGCGUAUGUAGGCCUGUAUGAUCAAGGACUAUCUUAACUGGCUACAUGCCCUGGAUAUGGGACAGGGUAAGCUUGAACCCGGCUAUUCCAUACGUGAAAAGACAACCGCGCACUGGGCGUGGGAGAUGGUGGGAGUAGCGUGUACCCUCCUGGCUGGAGGCUGGACGGAGGAGUACUGUGCUCCCGGGUAGCGCGGACCGGUUCACGUUGUGGAGGAUCUGUGGGAACGGUUGACAUAUGCAAGGGUUAAGUGCUACAUAUGUCAUGUGGUUAGAGAUCCUCAGCUGAGUAAAUCGAUUCGGAUCGCCGUUAUAUCCCCGGAGAGUGGAGACUUGAUCGCUGCCCUGCAACCUAAGUCAGGAUGUGAACAUUAUGAAUAAAAAUGAUGUUGUAUUGAUGAGAUGGUGAAAUUAGACUAGAUGCAAACAGAGUCUAUUAAUAUUUAAUCUGGCAUUAAAAUAUUGAAAGUAAGGACUCACUUUAGUAAGCUUUUUCUGCAAAAGUAUCUAAGUUGAUUCUUGCUAAAAGCCUCUCCUUGAUUCCUAAAUCCAGCAUAUCCUUGAGAGUCUUUUUCCUUAGUCGGGUAAGACUUGCGAAAGUACACUCCGUACUCAGGGUUUUCGAACCCAUGUUGUUGUAGGUGAUGAGGAGUAUUCUAGGAGUUCCUGUGGCUGGAGGGCGUUUCCAGUUCUGGAGAAGGACUAGCUAGGUUUAUGUAUAAGCUUUGGAGGGUUUCUACCUUCCUGCUUUUGUAAUAAGUUAUGCACUCUGAGUAUAUCAGGACUUGUAAUAAAUAUUACUCUUUCGAAACAUGUAAAACUUGAGUUUUGAAAAGGUAAAGAAUGUUUGUAAAGUCUUCCGCUCUUAUCUCCGAAGUGUGUGUAUCGAAUGUGAUUACUGUAAUAUGCAUGUAUGGUGGGAGAUCUUUGGGAUGAUGAGUUCAAGUUGUUGAACUCGUGAUAGCCUUGUUAAGUUACCUGGUACACGUGCAUAACCAUCUGAGGCCAUCCAGGCAAGGAUUGGUGCACGUGGGCCUGAUAACUUGGGAGGGCUGUCACAGAUUGGUAUCGGAGCGAUCCCCCAUUAGCAUGGAUAUUAAAGUAAUCUGUUGAUAUACUUCAAAAGGAUUUCGAGUCCAAACUAUUUUGGAAAAACUUAAGAAUCUAUGAUCAAAUUCUGAUAGUCAAAGUGCAAAUAGUAUAUGGUUAAGUUAAGGACUAUAAGGUGGCUUAGUUUAGGAUGCUAACCACUAACCCACAACUAUAAUGCAAUUUUCUGCAGGUACACUAACUAAACCCUAGGAAAGUGCGACUAGUGAUAAAUGACGGAGUGAGUAGGUAUGCCACCGCCAUAAAACGUGAUAGCCACUAUAUGUUGGCAAGAGUUGCAAGGACGAAUAGGACGAGCAUGCAUCAUGUCAUACAACUUUAAGUUAAACCCCCUGUGUAGCUAUUUUAGUAUGUGUUUCAUAUACCCUGUUCAUACAUCUUUAGUGAAUAGAGUGUAUCUAUUGCUUUUCUCUAUAGAUGAAUCAACAAGAAGCGCCUACAGGAGUUGGAGAGUUUCUACGAGAUUUCGGUGUUCCUAUGGUCCUAUGGCGACUACUUCAAGAAGUUGGAUAUACCGAAGCACCCAAGUACCAGUGGUCGCGCACUAUUCUUAGAGGACAACCAUGGUAUGAGGUCGUAGUGCGUAUUCCAGAACGUGCUAGAAAGCCAUCUUGGCCACAAUGGAUGUUCCAUGCCGAAGGAAUGACUCCUUGGGAAGGUGCUGAGGUAGCUGUCUUAGAGGUGUUGACAACCAUUUGUUACCAGAAAUGGGAAGAAAUACAAGCGACGUCUAUGAGGUUGUUCCCUGCAGUUGCCUUAAGUGACCCAGUUGUGUAUCAUCACUAGGCCCGAUUAAUGGAAAGCAUUCCCAUUGGGCAGGAUUCUGUUGAAUCGGCAUCUGCUCGGGUUUUGAUGGCUGUGCUAGAGUUGUAGCUUACUCGAGGGCACAGUCGUCAAAUGUGGCAGCAGUUAUACACUGGGAGUUAUGCAGCAUUUAAGAUGAUGGAAAUGGCCAAGAAUAGGGCUUGUACUCAGGCACAAGAACAGCUUAAAGAAACAAAGAUUCAAGUUGAGCGAAUUGUUGGACUAGAGCAUAAGGUAGCAGAACUGCAGGCACAACACAAAGCGGAUCAGGAUCGCAUCAAGGAACUUGAGCAUCAGCUGACUAAUGCUCAUUCAAAAUCAAAAGUUUUGAGUCAGCAACAAGAAGAAACUCACUCGUAUGUUGUUACUGUUAGGGAAGAACUUAAGGAAACCAUGGGCUUCCUUGGUCAGCAAGAUCAGGUGCUCGAGGAGUUGCAUCGUACCUAUCCGAUGGAAUUUCAAACAGUGCAGCGACUGAUCAACCAUCUGCAACAAACGGUGCAUAUGCUCAAUGUUGCCUUUUAUUCUGCCCCAACACCAACAGACUAAAAGGUACCUAUGGAGCAUGGAAACAGACAUCUGGCAGAUGUGAUAACCGGAGAAGAUAUAGCAGGCAACUUAAUCCUCGUUAGGCAAUAUACCUAUGUAAAUUAGUUUUGAAAGCUAGAUGUAAGGUAGACCCAUAUGGCAAUGUUAGCUAGUAAAAACAGGUUAAACUUUGUUGUAAAGAGUUUUUCCUGUUUCACCUGGAUCAGGUAACUUGUGAGUUUGCCUAUGGCUAUGAUGUAAAAAAAGAACUGCCUGUUUCAGAGGCAACUGUUAAUAUCUAUAGCCGUUUGUCGAAUUCCAAGAGUUAAAAUGGCUAUUCCUUUGGAUAUUCCCUGUGAAUGCACGUGUAUGGAUAAAUGACUUGGCACACGCUGGUACCAUAGUUUCUGGUUGUGUUUCGUGAUGAGAUGGUACCAUCAUGAUUUCCCAUGUGAGUCUGUUGAACAAGAAAUGGAAAAUUGGAUAAACAUUAUCCAAAGCAAAUUAGAUGCAACAUCUUGAGUAAAACACACAAAAAGAGAUUUAUCGCCGAGUCAUCAUUGGAAGUUCGCAGCAUCGGAGACGAGUGCAAAUGUCGAGCGACAUCGUGGUUAACUCAUGGUUAAGCGAAACAGAACACCUCCCCUGCCUUGUAAGAGAAAUUAGGAAAUAAGUCAGUGACGUGUUUCCUUUUCCGUUACUAAGUCUAGAUUUUUAAAUCUCGGGACGAGAUUUCUUUUAGGGGGGAAGGCUGUAACACCCCUGGUAUUACGUGAACUAAAACUCUGACAUGUCAUCAUAAGCAUUUGCAUUAACUUGCUUGUUACACUUAGAAUGCAUUUAUUAGGUUAAAAUUUUCGAUUCAAAAGUGUGAUGUGGUGUGUUGAGUAUAGGACUUAGGUUGAAAAACCUUGCUUGGAAUUGUGGAUGAACAAAACAACUCCUAAACCAGGGACAAUUUGGACAUGAGCUUCAUAUACUAGAGUUUGAUUUGAGAUUAAGGAGUCACUCAUCUUUUAGGAGGAUGAAUUGAGUUGGUAAAUCACUAGAUGAGAAGGAACCAUAUUUGAAACCCUAAAUUUGCCCUAAAAGUGGAAUUCAAAAUCUAGAGACAAUUGGGCAAAAGUCAAAGUGCCAAAGUUGUAGAGUUUGGAAAAGGUGAACAACUUUUAUAUUUGGAUAUUCCCAAGUUGUGUGGAAGAAUUUGGAGUAAUUUGCAGAAAUUCAGUUUUGGGUUCAAAUUGGAACUUCUGAAAUUAAUAUAAACUAGCCAACUUUGAACCCUUAUAAAUUCUGAUCUAUAAGCAUUUUGAAGAUGGUCCUUAUAACAAAGUUAUAGAGCUACAUGAGGAGUAUAAGUUUGGUGGAGUCACCUAGCUCUAAAGAUAUUUGAAACUUAGAGAAAAACUGGUCCAAAGUAGAGCUAACAGAGUUUCUGGAUUUCAGACUUGGUAGAAUUCAGAGUCUGAAUUUCAGUAAUUUGGGCAAACUUUGGACCUCUGUAGUUUGGAGUCUGUGAGGGUUUAGAUAUGGAUCACUAUGUCAAAGUUGUAGAGGAACUAUAGGAGUAUAAACUUUAUUAAGCAACUUGCCCCUAAAAACAUUUGGAACCCAGGAAAAAGAGUGGUUCUAAGUGGUGCUGCUGUAUUCUGAAUUUUCAGAUUGGAAGCAGUAACUGAAACUGAAUUUCAGUGUUUUGAUAGCAGUUUGGAAGCUGGUUUGUGGCUAGCUUAUAAGGUUUUAGGCUAUGGUGUUUGUAGAUGAAAUAAUGACCAUAUGAUGGUGAAUAAUUUUCAGUAAGUGGGUAUAGCAUGAUCCUGCACGAAAAGUAGAGUAAAACUAGCUCAAAGUUGGACUGUUUAUGGCUGAAACUGAAUUAUAUUCAGUUAUUGAAAACUGAAUUUCAGUGAAAGUUGCUCAGUUUGGAGCCCAUUUGCGGCUGAUUCAUGUGAUUUUGGACUAAGAACUAUAUGGUAAAGUUGGAGACCAAAAUAUGGUAAGUAAGUUUCCUAAAGUGAGAUAGACUUGGUGCUAUAUAAAGUUGGGAGUAAAAUACCCUCAAACUUCCCCUGUCAGAAUUGAGUUGGGACUGAUUUAGUUGACUGUUACUGAGAAGUUCAGUGAGUUUUUACCCAGUUUUGGAGCUCUAUGAUAAUUAAUAUAUGGAGAUUUUGGUUAAGAGUUCUGUAGUAAAGUCAAGGUCCAUAUGAAGGGAAACAACUUUUAUGCAAAGGAUUGACUUGUUACUGUGUAGAGUUUGGAGAAAAAGGGAAGGCAAAACCCUCUAUCAGACUUAAACUGUGCUGUUUCAGACUUUUGAAACUGGGUAUUUUAGUGUUUUGGCUCAACUUUGGGAUGCCAGAACUCUUGAUCUGUGUGGGUAUAAGCCAAAGACCCUGUGACAAAAGUUUACAUGGGUGUUAGGAGAACAAGUUUUCGACAGGAAGGUGGGUUUGAUGCUAAGUAAAAUUUAGAGUAAAACGUGCCUAAAUGUCUGUGAGAGAUGUCUGUUUCAGAAAACUGAAAACAGAUUUAGUGGAAGGUGGCUGAUUCUUGGACACUAUAACUUGUAGUACAUGCAGUUUGGAUCCUAGAUUCUUGAAACAAACUUGAAGUGCCUCAGAUAGUGAACAAGUUUGAUUAUAGGGGACUGAUCUAUCCUUAACAGGAAUGGGGAGAAAAGUGGGGCUGAACAGGGAGGAUCAGACCAGCUAAAGCAAUUCAGAGAUUCCCAAAAUAUCUAAAGAAUAUCUUUUCCCCCUGCAGAAAAUAUCAAACCUUUGGAUGUGUUUGAGCCUGUCUACCGUGGGGUUUUUUUUUAUCUGCCUUUACCUCUGUCCAUAUCCAGUGAAUAGGUGGGAUAUUUUAGCAGUGAGCAGUGGGCAGUAGAGUAUUUGUUGGUUUUGUUUGUUGUCUGCGAUAUGGGAUACUGGUGAGCUGAGUAUGGGAUAUGGAUGAAGUGCAUCAUUGAGGACUAGAAGUCUCGCUCCCCAUUAAUAAGUCUCAAGGUGAGCUGGAAUGUGUCUGUUUGUAGGUGCAGUUUUGACUGCUUGCUCCUUAUCCAUAUCAAAUAGACCAGAUUCAGUGUUUUAGUGAUAUUUGUGAGUUGUGUGCUGUGCCAGCAAGGUUUGUGCAUGGGAGCCAUGUGUGUUAGCCAUGCAGUGCUGGCAUCCCCAGAAGACUUCCCCACUGAGUUGUGUAGUGGUUCAGUGAACACUUUCCUACAUCUGCAGUGCCUUAGGUGCAGGUUCAGUGAAGCUCUCCUCCUUGCCUCGAGUCUAGCCAUGGUUCACUGCUUUGGGUGGUGAUCCUAAAGUCUGCAGGUCUCUGUAGCCCUCUCCAGUUCAUCGCACGCCAUUCCCCUGUGCUAGUGGCCGCGCCAGCAGUUCUCCCACCUCGCCAUGGCUUGGACGUCCUAAGGAGUUGCUGGCCCGUAUGAAGCUUGUUCCGUAAUCAUCUCAGAGCUCCCAAAACAAAGAGUGAAGAUUCAAGAUGAAGUGGUUGCUAAAGAGGAGUCUACUCCAGUGUCUUCUCAUUAAGAGGAUGGAGCUAUCUAAUCGAUGGUUGGGUAGAGGGAUCUAGAACCUCUUCACUGCAACAAAG